AUUUAAAUAGCUUAUAUAAAAGAGCAUAACACUGAAGAUGUUAAGGAAACGUAGGGUUUUUAAAUA
rnacentral:tRNA from 1 species